rnacentral:lncRNA from 10 species
CAUGUGGUCACUGCCAGGGCAUAGAGGAAGUGUGCCAUCUGUAAUUCAAGACUGUCUUUCCUGCCCUCCUCAGUGCCUCCUUCACUGAUAUGAAGUUAAAACAAGUGUGCCAAAUAAGUCAUUAACAGGGAAGAAUGGUGAACCCUUGUGUAACAUCAUAUUACAUGAGACAAAUCAGCCACCUGGGAAUAAGUGAACCCAUUUCAUUAUGCAUUCCAAGAAUAAAAAUUCAGAUUGAGAGCAAAGGUUGACAUAGGCUGACGAUUCAGAGUGAAAGUACAGGCAAGGGAAG